UGGCGGCGCGUCUUAAGCAUGCAAGUCGAGCGGGAUUAUCCAGCUUGCUGGAUAUGAGAGCGGCGGACUGGUGAGUAACGCGUGGGUGACGUGCCCUUCUGCCGGGAUAGCCGGUAGAAAUACCGGAUAAUACCGGAUGAGCUCCGCGGCGCUGGAGGCCGCGGAGGAAAGGAGCUAUUGUCCGCGGAAGGAGCGGCCCGCGUCCCAUCAGCUAGUUGGCGGGGAAAAGGCCCACCAAGGCGAUGACGGGUACCCGGCCUCAGAGGGCGACCGGGCACAUUGGGACUGAGAUACGGCCCAGACUCCUACGGGAGGCAGCAGCUAAGAAUAUUCCGCAAGUGGGGGAAACCCUGACGGAGCGACGCCGCGUGGACGACGAAGGCCGGAAGGUUGUAAAGUCCUUUUGUGGCUGAGGAAGAAGGGCAGGUCGGAAGCCUGUCCGGUGACUGUAGGCCAUGAAUAAGCACCGGCUAAUUACGUGCCAGCCGCCGC
rnacentral:rRNA from 1 species